CCAAAAGUAAAAAAAGCAAAUAAAAUAACAACAUAAAGGACAAUAAAGCAUCCGAUUCAUAUAAUAAUUAUAAUGACCUUCUUGAUCAUUUUUUUGAGAUCAUGACACUUUUUAGACUAACCUUUCCUGUAAGAUACUAAAGGCUAUGUGUAAGUGAAAGCUUUACUUUCAGGUCCAGCUAAAGCAAAGUGAAUCUCUCGUUUUGUCGCUGCUCUGUGAGUUUUGGAAGUUCCAAAAGACUCAGUGAACAGUUAGAUAACUUUGCUCAAGAUGUGUGCGGCUGCAAAGAAUGAACGUCCAAAUCCAGAUGCCCGGAGCUCAGAGAUAAAGCUCUCAAGACCCGACUUGGACGGGAAAAGUCUGAUUCUGUGCCGGAAAAUGGUCAAAUAAAGAGAUACGGCCAAAGCAAACCGUCUUCCACAAGUAUCCUGCACAGAACGACUAAGCCUGAAAGUGAUAGACAGACACACACGGAAACAGCAGUUCCUUUGCUGGUGUUCUGAAGUUGAAGCAUUACUGGAAUAUGGAUGAGCAUUUAGGGAUAAUCUUCUCACCCAGAGGCAGGACUCUGAGUUCUUCCUUCACACAUUAGUAAUAUAUCAACAUUAUUAAAUGUCCCUAUAGGUCACUACAUAGCCGCAUAACCCAUAUUGAAAGGUGCCUGCGGUGGAAAUAUUUUUGGGCAUCACAUGGGCAUUUUGCAUGUGGCAGGUAGAAUGGAAAUUUGGAAUCGAUAGGGAAUCGGAAAUAAAAGGAGUUGGAAUCGGAUCCUUGAAAUGAUUUUAAAUUCCUCUUAUCAAUUCCUGUGUGCAUAUUUUCUGCUAUGUGUUAACUUGUGAUAAAGCACAGGAACCCCAAAUUGACCAUAGUUUCAUUAUAUUAACUACAGUUUAACCAUGAUGUAGUUUAACUAUGGUGAUACAAAUUGUAAU